UAAUUACUUCCUCCGUCCGAAAAUACUUGUCAUCAAAAUGAAUAAAAGGGGAUGUAUCUAGAUGUAUAUUAGUUCUAGAUAUAUCCCUUUUUAUCUAUUUUGAUGACAAGUAUUUUCGGACGGAGGGAGUAACCG
rnacentral:pre_miRNA from 1 species